CCUGCACGCAGCAGGGUGGGUUUGUGCCUUUGGCCCAAUGGAUACAUAGCCCCAUAAUUUCUGAAUUAUUCUAUGCACUUGUUUCCCUCUUCUUUUAUUUUUUAUUUGAUAUAUGCCGACCUAGAAUCCUGUCGGGUAGCUUUUGUCUACUAAGAACAUUAUUAUUAUUAUUAUUAUUAUUUUUUUUUGAAAUGGAGUCUCUCUCUGUCGCCCAG
rnacentral:sRNA from 1 species